rnacentral:tRNA from 1 species
GGUCGCGUGGCCGAGUGGUUAGGCAGCGGUCUGCAAAACCGUGUACAGCAGUUCGAAUCUGCUCGUGACCU